UUCUUAAUGAUAUGAUGUCAUAAGGUUGACUGUUUUCUUUGUCAUAAGUUAACCGUCUUUUCAUUUUAAAUUGUUAACGGCUGUUUCUUUUGUUUAUUUGUAUUAAUCUAUACAGAUUUUAUUUCAUUUUAGUUUUUCUCAUUAAAGAUGUUUGUUUAUUAAAAAUUUAAGUCUUUUCAAUGUGGAAUCCACAUUGUGGAUUUAAUUCAUCGUACGCAGCGCAAAGGAAUUUGCGAUCAGUCAUAUGUGGAGCAGCCUCUGGUAUUAUUAAUUGUGUUUGUUUAAAUAAUUUCUCUGGGUUAAAUUAUGCAAAAAUUGGACAGCUAUUGACUCGACAGUGCUAAGGGUGAUUAACUAAGCCAUUAACAAAGACAAUUGGAUCCAUUAAUUUUUUGAGUCUCAUUAUCACAUGUUCUGAGGCAUAUCAUCAAGAUAGAUUUCAAUGUUUGAUCCAAUAUUGAAAUUGGAACCAGCCAAGUAAAGAUGAGUUCCACCAGAUUGAGGUCCAACCUUAGGAUUAACGUCCAUCAAUUGAACAGCCUUUAAUUUGAAAUUCAAAAAAGAGACAAGCAAAAAAAGCAUUGCAUUAAAUACUUGAUUAAAUAUUUGGUCAUUUGGAAGGAUUCAAGUUUAACAAUCAACAUUUAAUAGUUUGACUUGUUCCGCUUCUGGUUCAAAAUACACUUGGUUCUAUCUCUUGGCCAACCCUUUAUUGCGUAUACUGUUGACAAGUGCAAAUGAUUUGAGUAAAUAGGAAACAAAAGUCCGUAACACAAAUCAUCUAAUACAUGAACAUCAACAUAAAUUAACAACAGUUUUACAGUCUUAAUUGAAGUAAUAACGAUAAUACAAUGAGUAUAACGGAAAAUCAAAUUAAAAGUAAAAUUUUUUUGCCUGAUAUGAUUAUUGUUUAUUUUAAGUGGUUUCAACUUUCUCCUCUCUUCUUUUUCAUCACAUAAUCAAUCGGAUUAAAACCCAAAUGGCUUAUAUUUUCCAAUCCUCGCACAUAUAAAUAAUAAGCCUUAACCGGAAACUAGCAAAACAAUGGCCACAUCAACCGAGAGUGAAAAAAGGUGUUAAAGAUAUGAAAGACCUGGACGCGAAACAAAAAGCGAAUACAUUGUCAACUUUACAGAUUUAUGCUUGUUGAAUAACAUAAACCAUACCGAGAUAAAUUUCCUGUAUGUCUAACAUACAAAGUGUACCAAUGGUUUCAAUCAGUGGGUUAAUCUAAUGAUGCGCAUAAAUUGAGCGGUUAAUUCAAAAUACAGAUGUUUUAUCCAUAUUGAGUUUUUAUGCGCAUAAGAGAUUAUCUUCUUCCCUGAUGGAAACAUUCUGUAUACUCUGUAAAUGAUGAACAGAGACGAGGAUCAGCAUAUUUUAACCCUUACAGUUGAUUAUGCUUCCAAAUUGGGUUCUUACCAUUGAUUAGUGGAAUGGAAAAAUGUUGAGACCAAUGACAAUUCUGUGUAAUCACUUGGAUUAAAUACAAAAUGGUUUUCCUUGAUUAACUUCCCCACUUUCCUCUGUUUAUCUAUCUGGGUACAGAUUUUACAUCUUUUUGUCUCUUUCACCUUCAUCAUCUCCCUGAAUUUCCCUCUCUGGUUGAUUGAGUUUUUGCGUUCCAAGGGAACAUAAUAAUGUUAUACAAUAAAUCGGAGAAAAGGAAGAAAAAAGAUGAAGGCGAAUACGAAGAAGAAGAAGACAAAACACAAGGAAAAGAGUAUGACAAAGACUUAAAGAGCAUUUAAAAGGAUCACGAGAAUCUGAUGAACACAUGAUUGAGCAAAUACAUGUUGCAAGUUGUUUCUUCAAAAAUUCAGGUUAUGUAUAUUCAGGUAGCAGCAUGGCUUUUUCCCUUCUUCUUUGGCCUAACACAAUAGAGGAAACUAAAUCUUGCCUUACUUUGAUUAACAAAAUGGAUUAACCAACAUAAUGCCAGUCAAUUAGCAAUUAAUCUGAUUAGCUGACCUUCUGGUUCAUUCAAGAUUCUCAAGAUCAUGUUUCUCGCUUCCUCCUUCCUUAAGGUACCCAUCAUGUGCAAACUACAUUAACCUCAUCACUGUUGUUCCCUGAUCGAUAUUGAUGAAAUAAUGUCUAUUUUGUACAUUUUACUAAAAGCAAAUUUAACUAGACCAGGUUAACCAAGGUUUAUUUAUCAACCAACAAAAAGUUCUGGCUACAUGUUAGGAACAAUUCUCUCUUCCUCAGUCUUUGUAUUGUUGAUAAACAGUAAAUAAUUUCUUCAAAACGUGUAAUAGAAAUGUUUACAAUUGACUUUUCUAUUCUUGUUGAGUUUUAUUUUCUGUUUUACUCCAAAUCACUAACAAUAGUAGUUGAUGAAAAUCAAUUGGAAUGAGAAAAGAUUGGCUCAAGAUCAAUCGUUGAAUUACCCAAUUGAUUACAAUCAAUUUAAUGAUGGAGUGUAAACUUAUUUUCAAUUGCUAACCAUUGGUAUCAAAUCAAUUUUGUUGACCUUACGUUAGCUUUUUUUGCCAGUGUUGGUUAAAAAAGAAGCCUUUCAGACUAUUCCAACCUUUUCUCCAUCAUGUUCAAAUUCAAUUCUCAUUCAAAUUGAAUUUCCCUUUCCUUGCGUCUUUCAUCCCUUCUUCAGUAAUACCAAACCUCAAUCAACUUCACUUUCCACCAAAUUAACUUACAUUACUUUCAUGGAAUAUAAUUUAAUUGCAAGAUUAAUGUAAGAAAAACUAAUUACAACCUUUAACAAUCAUUCAAUCAAUUGUAAAAUACCCAUUUAAUCAAAUUUAGGUACAAACUUGAAACUCAAUUCUAACCUCAAUAUUAAUUUAUUUCAAAAUUGGGUAAAAAUUGGACUUCUUGACAAACCUAAAGUCUAAUAAUAGCAAAUGGCUAAAGUAAAAAUAUUAAUUUUUAUUUAAUCCAAUCAUUUGAAUUUCCAAUGAUAAUUUACAACAAUUACCUUAUUCACUCCCUUUUAACCAAACCCUUUGUUAACCAAAAAAUAACCCAAAAAGAACCAGAUUUGAUUGUUAACAAUUUAAACUGCUAGUCGCCCAAAGAUUCAUUCAGUUGCUUUCCAUCUUCAAUCUCAAAUAUAAGCAUGAAGAAACCUUUCAAAGGUUUCUAUGGGAAAAUGUUUGAAUAUUAUUUUGAUGAUGAAAAAAAUGGAACUGAUAAUAAUGAUAGUUUAUUCACUCCAGAGUUUUGGUUGAUUGGUUUUUGUUCCCAGAACAAAGCAAUUUCAUUUUACUAUUGAACCCAAAAGGGACAGACAAAAGUGUAGCUGAUAUCAAUAAAAACAACUGACCUGUUAAUUUGUUGUUUAGCUUUACUUUUUGUCUUGUUAUGGUUCACAUUUUAUACUGUUAUUGUUAUUAUUAUUGCUUGUUUUUCCUCUUGUUGAUAUUAUUAAUAAAGAGAGACAAACAGUUUCCAUUGAUAAUAAUAUUAAUGACUAUCAACAAUCACAAGGGAAUUUGAUUGAACCUCUUUUCAAUAUAAUAACAUAUCAAGGUAAAUCAAUUUUGAUCAAUUCUAUGUUCUUUUUCUCUUCUUUUCUCCUUUUUUUCCCUCUCAUAUAUUAAUGUUUAUUGAUAGUAGAUAUCAGUAAACAGUUAUAAUUUACUACACAGAAUUGAAAUUAAAACAGAUUACUGUUAACACCAGUUUAAUAGCUAUAAAAAAUCUGUUUACAUGAUCAUUCAACUGUUUCUCCAUUGAAUGCCAUUUAAUGAUGGAAAGAUAAAAAAAAGCAAAUCAAAUCUCUUAUUAAAAUCAUUAAUGAUUGAUAUAAUAAUUGACUUUCUUUGUAUCUAGAUUUACUCAAUUGCAUUUAAUGUAUUGUUGGUUAACAACAUUGGUUUGUUAUUACCUCUAAAAAUGCAACCCAAUUGACUUGACCAUUGUUAACAACAUGUUGCCCUUCCUUGACAAUUUACAUUGUUUAUUGUAAAAAAAGAGAGAAGCAAAUUGAAUUAAUCAAAAUUCAAGUGUUAAGGUUGCUAAUCAAGAUGUUAAUUAAAUGAUCCUAAAUCAAAAGAAGGUCACUUAAUCAGAGCUUUUUUAACAUCUAUUUAUCACUAAAUUACCAACCAUAUACCAUUAUGAAGUCUAUUGUUGGAUUAACCAGUGUUAAUGAUGAUUAAAUAUAACUUCAUUUACUUUCAUCAUAAUCACCGCCAUCAUCAUUACCAUUGACACUAGAUUUGUUUUCAGCAACAAACGUAAUUUUCCCAUCUUUUUAUAUUAUUAUUAAUUAUUUACUAAUUUUGCGUCUUUCCUUUUCCUUUUUCAACAGGAGACAUUCAUGGACAACUGGACAAUCAUUCAUUGUCACUGGCAUUUCAUUGACUGUGUUCAUGUUUCCUCAUUGGCCUCCAUCUAUUCCUAAGAAAAUCUAAAUAUAGUGAUGAACCUGAUGCAUCCCAAUGGAACUUGAAUCAUUAAAUAACUUUCCUGAAAACAAAACUCAUCAAGCUUUUACUUUGACCAGCUCAAUGAAUCAACCUUUAUGUGCAUUUGUUUAAACUUUUUUUUAUUCAUUUCAUUCCAUCUUCCCCUAUCCAUUAUCAUUAUACAUAGGUUAUCAUUCAGACA